AGAAAUUAACUGAAAGAGUGACUAAAUUCCAAGGUAUUUCUUCAUGGAGAUGAAAACUUAAAAUUUUUGUUGUAACCUGUGUGACUCCUGCUUCACCAAAUUUGUUGAUAACGCCUGUCACAGGCAGUUGCCACUGUUCUGAAUUUGGUGAACUACUGGGAAUCUUCUGACAUCUUCAACUGCUUUGUGAAGUCUACUACAAUAUACUGCAAGUAAAAUGAUUUCCUAGUCUUCUGAAGAGAAUGACUCUUCUCUGCGUUUGUGACAUACGUGCAUCAUCAUGCUUUCCAGUUUCAGACAUAAUGGACACAAUGAUCACAAAUUUACCCAGUGACCACUGCAUGCUAUCCUGGCUGCCAGGGAGGAUGAAGAUCUACACAGCCCAUGAUUCUUACCCUGGGGGAGCUUGGACAAACUUUGAACAUGAAACCAUCAUGACAAUACAAAGGUUUCAAGUUCUGUCCCACAAUUUUCCAGUGAUUCUACAAGGAGCAAAGUCCAUAAGCAAAAGGUUUGAGCUAAAAACAUAACCAUCAGCAAAUAUUUAAGAUGUUUUUAUUUUGUGUUGUUUUUUAUUAUUUUCCUGCCUGGUAUGCUAGGGAGAAAAAAAAACUUGAAAAAUUCUGUAUCUUCAAGUUAUUAAGAAGAUAUUUGUGAUUUUCAUUCUCAGUGUAUUAUUUAGCCAGGUAUAUCCCUAUUUUCUUUCUUUUAUUUUGCAAUGUUCACUAUGAUGUUAGUAUGGAAAAUAAAAUGUGACUCAUAUUGGUUAUAAAGAUAGAUUACAUGUGUACAAAGAAUUCUGACCUCAAAUUAGGAAGUUGAAAAUUUCCUAAAAUCUGCUCUAGCAAACAUUACUGGAAACAUUUGUAUGAUUUUUUUUAAACCUCUCAAAAACAUGAUUAAUUUAUGUAUAUUAGUAGAAAAUAAGAAAAAAAUGGAUUUUGUCCAAACCACCUAUAAGA